AGUGAACGCUGGCGGUAGGCCUAACACAUGCAAGUCGAACGGCAGCACAGUAAGAGCUUGCUCUUACGGGUGGCGAGUGGCGGACGGGUGAGGAAUACAUCGGAAUCUACUUUUUCGUGGGGGAUAACGUAGGGAAACUUACGCUAAUACCGCAUACGACCUACGGGUGAAAGCAGGUGAUCUUCGGACCUUGCGCGAUUGCAUGAGCCGAUGUCGGAUUAGCUAGUUGGCGGGGUAAAGGCCCACCAAGGCGACGAUCCGUAGCUGGUCUGAGAGGAUGAUCAGCCACACUGGAACUGAGAAACGGUCCAGACUCCUACGGGAGGCAGCAGUGGGGAAUAUUGGACAAAGGGCGCAAGCCUGAUCCAGCAAUACCGCGUGGGUGAAGAAGGCCUUCGGGUUGUAAAGCCCUUUUGUUGGGAAAGAAAAGCAGCAGGUUAAUACCCCGCUGUUCUGACGGUACCCAAAGAAUAAGCACCGGCUAACUUCGUG
rnacentral:rRNA from 1 species